rnacentral:RNase_P_RNA from 1 species
UGAGGAAUGAGUUUAAGCUCAAAAAUCCUGCAAAUAUACAUACACAAAAUUCAAAAAUCAAAAAAAGGAAAAGAGGGCUAAGACUUGAAAAUUAUAUUUUCUUUCUUUCCUUCUUUUUUUUUUUUUUUGUUUUUUUUUAUACAUUUUGUGUAAUUAAUAAAAUACAGGAAGGAAGGUCUGAGAUGCUGCAAAAAAAGAAUUAAUUAUAUUUCUUAAAAAUAAAUCAAAACUAUUUUUAAUAGUCUUGUAUUUAUUUUUUUAUACUUAUUUCUUUAUUAAUAUUUUUGAGAAAAAUAAUAUUGAACAAAUAUUAUUUAGCUACCAGAAAUAUCAAUCAUAUAUUUAUAGUAGUUUUUUUAAUUAUAAAAAAAUUAUUUAUAUAUAUUUGAUUUUGAAAAAGCUAAUAAGCAAGUAUACAUUGGUGAGUUCGAUUUUUGAGGUUUUUCAGCUACUUUGAUUUUUUUUCAAGUAGUAGAAAAAUAACUUAAUUCAGACUACUCCUAAAUUCAUUCCAA